GUCCCUAUCGUCUAGCGGUCCAGGACGCCGUUAUCUUCCCUUCGAAAAAAAAAGGUGGCAGGGAGGGGAGCUCAAGACGGAGACCGGGGUUCGAAUCCCUGUAGGGACGCCA
rnacentral:tRNA from 1 species